GUGGGGAAUAUUGCGCAAUGGGCGAAAGCCUGACGCAGCGACGCCGCGUGAGGGAUGAAGGUUUUCGGAUCGUAAACCUCUGUCAGAAGGGAAGAAACUACGUUGUGCUAAUCAGCAGCGUACUGACGGUACCUUCAAAGGAAGCACCGGCUAACUCCGUGCCAGCAGCCGCGGUAAUACGGAGGGUGCAAGCGUUAAUCGGAAUUACUGGGCGUAAAGCGCACGUAGGCUGUAGUGUAAGUCAGGGGUGAAAUCCCACGGCUCAACCGUGGAACUGCCUUUGAUACUGCACAACUUGAAUCCGGGAGAGGGUGGCGGAAUUCCAGGUGUAGGAGUGAAAUCCGUAGAUAUCUGGAGGAACAUCAGUGGCGAAGGCGGCCACCUGGACCGGUAUUGACGCUGAGGUACGAAAGCGUGGGGAGCAAACAGGAUUAGAUACCCCAGUAGUCC
rnacentral:rRNA from 1 species